GGGAUGGCUCCUGCGGUGGGCUCUGCAGGAGUUUAAUUUGGUUUUUCACGAUGCUGCCGAGGAAGCAGUGGAAAAGAGCUGCUUGAAAGUGUGAAUGGAUACCCACGGGAAAUCAUACAUGAUGACCACGCUGACUCAAGGUAGGUAGACAGGGCCCAGAACCGGCUGAAAGAGCUCUUGAAGGCAGGCGUCUGUGAUGCCCACGUGCUCUGGGAUAACAGUGACCCCUGGUCAAACCCCAAACUCUCAUGUGUUUAGAAGCUGACAUUUCUCUGGACAGAAGAUGGUGCUGUUGUCAAUGCAGUGUGCUUUUUCCGUCCUUCCAACAUAGCCUCUCGGUUGCAACGUGGAAGCCGUCUGCAGAAAGAAAGGAAAUAGCAAUUACAGAGCAGGAUUUCAGCUGGAGUCUUUCCUUGAACCUCUGAGGGUCUAAGAAGGAGGCGGAGAUGCUUGAUAAGCUCUGUCUGAGAUUCUCGCCUUGUGAUGUCUCCCACGAAAGCCCUCAGAGAAUCUUCACGGAGAAAAUUGCUGUCGCCGUUUCGGUAAUAGGUUUAUGUGAAGGGUAGCAGCUAGAGAACGCAAAUUCCCUGUGGGGACUCAGUGUCAGAUACCAUUAGUUAGUAACCCAGUAUCUGUCCGCUCUUCUCCCUGGCUCACAAAAGCUUGGUUUUUCUUCAGGAUGGCAAUACGUUAACCCCUGGGGCAACGUCUCAUGCUCAGACAACCUCCUGGACCCAACCUUCCUUCCACUUAGGGGAUGGGGCUGGCCCUGAGUCCCAGCCCUGGCCAAGGAGGCUUAAGCAGAAGCCGGCAAGGGUGUGUCUGGGAAAGCUUUUGCUUUCUGAUGAAAGGAGAGAGAACAUCACUUCCUCGGCCUCCUCUGCUUCUUCCCACCCAAAUGCAGUAUGAUCUACAGACCCACAGCAGCCAUCUCCAGCCCAUGAGGACACAAGCACCACAGACUAACUCUGCAUUAAAAGAAACAGAGAUGAAGACAGAGGAGCCUGGGUUUCUUGGAGCUUCUCAACCGAUGCUAUCAAUUAUCCAUUUCUGGAUUUGCUGUUCUAGGAGUAAAAUUGGCCCCUCUCUGCUUAAGCUUUUUGCUGAGUUUUCUGUAACCUGCCAUCAAGUGUUCUUCUCCAGCUAAGGUGAAAGAAGGGAAUGGAAGGAGUCCGACAGCCACGCAGCAUAAGAACACACAGGAGAGAGGCCAGGAGGGGGCUGAUCCUUUCAGUGGGA
rnacentral:lncRNA from 1 species